CCCUUAGAUGUUCUGGGCCGCACGCGCGCUACACUGACGAAUGCAACGAGCUUAUAACCUUGGCCGAAAGGUCUGGGUAAUCUCCAAAUUUCGUCGUGAUGGGGAUAGAUUAUUGCAAUUAUUAAUCUUCAACGAGGAAUGCCUAGUAAACGCAAGUCAUCAGCUUGCAUUGAUUACGUCCCUGCCCUUUGUACACACCGCCCGUCGCACCUACCGAUUGAAUGGUCCGGUGAAAUCUCGGGACGGCGGCUUGGUCGCUUGCGUCCGACUGCUGAAACUUGAUUAAACCAUAUCAUUUAGAGGAAGGUGAAGUCGUAACA
rnacentral:rRNA from 1 species